CCCUUAUUCCAGAAACGAUCUCUGGUCGGGAACGGAUUCGAACGGACGGAACGAUGAUUCGAUAUCAUUCGCAGGUACAUCUUUGGCGUAUAGUAUUAUAU